CUUCAUUCGAUCAUCCAGUUCCAAUAGAGCUCCCACACUCCACAUCAGAGCAAAGACAUACAGACGUUCCAUGUGCUCACGAGACAGCUCCCCUCCCUGCUCCUGAUGGGUUACAUCAUUGAAGACAUCAUCAAAAGGUGAUCUACCUUUCUUUGCUCUGAGUGUUUUCCUCCAGAGAGUGGAAAAGAUUCCAUCAGUCCAGUCGUUGGUUGCCACAUCGAGUCGUCCAAACAUUUGAGAUGAGGGUAUCCUGCUUUAUCCAACUGAAUUCCAGGGAAAAGAUCUUCGAUCAAACUCAGGAACAAUGGCUCAUCCUCAUCAAUCUUAAAGGACAAGUGUCAUUUCAUUGUUAUG